GUGGGGAAUAUUGGGCAAUGGGGGAAACCCUGACCCAGCGACGCCGCGUGAGGGAAGAAGGCCUUAGGGUCGUAAACCUCUGUUGUGUGGGAAGAAGAGCGUGACGGUACCACACGAGGAAGUCCCGGCUAACUACGUGCCAGCAGCCGCGGUAAUACGUAGGGGACGAGCGUUGUCCGGAUCUACUGGGCGUAAAGGGCGCGUAGGCGGUCAUAUAAGUCAGCUGUGAAAUGGUUUGGCUUAACCGGAUCAUGCGGUUGAAACUGGAUGACUGGAGUGCUGGAGAGGCAAGUGGAAUUCCCAGGGUAGCGGUAAAAUGCGUAGAUAUUGGGAAGAACACCGGUGGCGAAGGCGACUUGCUGGCCAGCAACUGACGCUGAGGCGCGAAAGCCAGGGGAGCAAACGGGAUUAGAUACCCUGGUAGUCC
rnacentral:rRNA from 1 species